GCUUACGGCCAUACCACCCUGAGAACGCCCGAUCUCGUCAGAUCUCGGAAGCUAAGCAGGGUCGGGCCUGGUUAGUCCUUGGAUGGGAGACCGCCUGGGAAUACCAGGUGCUGUAAACU
rnacentral:rRNA from 1 species